UCUAUCAUCACUUCACCAGUUCACCCUCAUCACUACUCAGACACCACCCUUCACCCCACCACAUCAGCCAAAACACUCAUCCCUUCCUCCUCAACCAUCUCUCAUGCGAUACAAAACACUGGCGACGGAGAGAGAACCAUGUUUGAAGAGAUAGAGCGCCGCGAGAGUAGAUAUAGAAAGAGCGCCGGUGUUGCAGUGCUGUUGCCGGCUGCUCGAGGGGGCGAGAUUGUCUCUGGUGAACAGGAUCAUGAACAAAACUAUGGCGGGGAUAGUAACCGGAGGAAUGAGUUUUUGAUGAUGAAAUUAAGAUUUAGAGUUUGAGUUUUGUGUAGGAAGGGGAUUACGGGAGAUCAAAAUCAGAAUUACAAAUGGGAUACAAGGAGAACGCAAAAGAGCCAUCGGCUGGGGCAAGAACAAGUGUAUAACGUGGAACCUUGCACUACCAUUUGUCACGGAUGCCAUAGUGCCUGGAUUUGAGCCACUACCAGUGUUGACACCAACUCCUGAAGAGCGCACCACUGAUUGGUGGCGCGCCAGAUGUCAGUUUUUUGACGACUAUGCUUAUGAUUCUUCACCGCUGUUGAAGAAGGCACGCUUACCAUCACCAUCUCAGCCGUCGGUUAUGGUCCCUGACCAGUUGGCAAAGGACGUUGCUGACCCCACCACAAUGCCAAGCUCAGACAACACCACUGGUCACCAAAGUACGGGGUCAAGGACAAAUAUGGAGAAAACAAUGGAUACGUUACAGAAGCCGUUGGUUAUGACACGUCUCACGAGUUUAGAGGAGCGAGUUGAUGAGCUACUGAAGGCCAGGCGACCACUUUGUCUAAAGGCGGAGAUCCCGACGACCUCAGACUUGUUUGGUCCUUUUGACCACGUAGAGGAUCGUGUUGUGGUGGGAAAGGUUUGACAUACUUUGUGUACAAGGCUACAACAUAAAGCAAAGUGUCGUACCAAUUCUCGAAUCCAUUUUUAUGAUUACUUUAUUUCAUUUAAACUUGAGACUUAUUAGUGAUUAUUUAAAUGCAUUGCUAUAAAGAAAGUAUUAGUUUCUGUAUAAAGUUUAACUUUAGAAAGCCAGACUUGAUCUCUUAAAUCAAACAAAUGAAUGUAUUUAGAAGUUUUUCAUUUUUAACUAAAAUAGGAAAAUCAUUGGUGCCCGAUGGUAUGUUAAGGGAUACAAAGCCGAAUUUGGAAAUUUGGACACAACCGAUGGUUCUGAAUUUCUUUCACCGCACGAUGCGUAUGUUCAUGGGACCCACACUUCCUCCAUUGCAUCCGAGGCAAUAGUAGAAGACACCAGUUUCUUCGAGCUAGCCCGAGGUGGAGCACCAUCAUCUCAUUUGCCUAUAUAUAAGGUUUGUUGGGCCACUGGUGGUUGUAGCUCGGCUGAUAUUCUUGCUGCAUUUUAUGAUUCCAUCCAUGAUGGUGUGGAUGUUAUUUCUGUUUCGUUGGGCACUUCUCCGCCGUUACCUACGUAUGUUGAUGAUCCGUUAUCCGUUGGUUCGUUUCAUGCUGUGGCUCGUGGGAUCGCUGUGGUUUCUUCUUGUGGGAAUUCUGGCCCGUAUCCUCAAACACAGCUCCGUGGAUUAUUUCUAUGGCUGCAAGCACCAUUGAUAGAGUUUUCCCCACCUCCAUUACGCGGUAUGUGUUUUUUUCCUUUCUGUUUGACAUAACUCAUCAUUCAUCUUAUUCAAUUUAAAUGCAUUUACUAUUGAAUUAGUUAUGUGAUUUAUGCCAUUACUUGACGUGUUGCUGGGUGUUGAAGACAUGUGUUAUUGUGAACUUCAUGGUAGAGCUUUAGGCCCCGACGGUAUGGUUUCCCGGGGGAACGCCCAAGACAAACUCUGAAGCCAGUGUGGGCUCGAAUAAACAACAUAGGCUGACCAGAGUGGGGCAAUGAGGCUCUUUUAAUUUGGGGAGUGUGAUGGCCGAACACACAAGAAAGUCAUCAGGAGUGGUUUAGGGUCAUUAUAAUGUUUGGUGUUUGGGCUUAAUAAAAUAUAAAGAGUCGUGAGAGUUGCUAACAAGAUAUAUCUGUGUUUUUUGUGUUUGAUAUCGUCUUUUUUAGUAUUUAUUCGUUUACAACUGAAUGACUGAGCAGGAGUGUUUUUAUGAUCUAAAUGAUCAAAAUUGUUUCCAUGAAUCAUCUGUUAGAAUAAGUUUUCGGUA